rnacentral:rRNA from 1 species
UGAGGAACAUGACCUUCGGCGGGGGAUAGCCGGCCCAACGGCCGGGUAAUACCGCGUACGACCUUUUGGGGACAUCCCCGAUUGGUGAAAGCAGCAAUGCGCCGAAAGAGUGCCUCGCGGCCUAUCAGCUAGUUGGUGGGGUAAUGGCUCACCAAGGCGACGACGGGUAGCUGGUCUGAGAGGAUGGCCAGCCACAGUUGGGACUGAGACACGGCCCAGACCUCCGUACGGGAGCAGCGAGG